GAUGAACGCUGGCGGCGUGCCUAAUACAUGCAAGUCGAGCGAAGCGGGGACGGGUGAGUAACACGUGGAUAACCUCCUAUAAGACUGGGAUAACUUCGGGAAAACGGAGCUAAACCGGAUAAUUAUAGAUGGAGCCGGGCUGCAGUAGCUAGUUGGUAAGGUAACGGCUUACCAAGGCAACGAGUCAUAGCCGACCUGAGAGGUUGAUCGGCCACUCUGGAACUGAGCCACGGUCCAUACUCCUACGGGAGGCAGCAGUAGGGAAUCUUCCGCCAUGGGCGAAAGCCUGACGGAGCCACGCCGCGUGAGUGAUGAAGGUCUUCGGUUCGUAAAACUCUUUUAUUAGGGAAGCGGUACCUAAUCAGAAAGCCACGGCUAACUACGUGCCAGCAGCCGCGGUAAUAC
rnacentral:rRNA from 1 species